GAGAACGGGAAGAAGGCACGGCAAUGGCCGCAGGGGGUGUGUGUCUGUGAAAUAUUCAAAACAUAAAGAAAGUGCUCAGACUCGAUCCUCAACAAACCUGGACAAUUGUUCCUGCUCCGACGGACCGCAGAAGAGUUCGGGAAAAAAAACACGCUGCGAGGAAGUGAGUGGAACUGUGUUGUCAAAAGACAAAGCUGAGAAGGUUGAGCUGAGCUAACGCUAAAGCUAGCGCUGUAGUGUAUGUGUGGAUUGCUCCACCGAGAGCCAUUGGGAAACUCACGGUGUUGCUGCCGGAGACUCAACACUCGCCUGCGUGGGACGACGACAGGGCCGUGGGGUUUCCGGGUGUGGACGGUCUGUGUUCUUGGGCUGGAAAAGGGGAGACUAUAAUGAUGUGUGUCUGAUGUGAGAGCGUUAUUAUGAGUAUUUGGACGUGGCCCCAGCUGUUUACAUCAAAACCGAGUGUCAGUUACGAGAGGACGUGGAAGACGUGGAAAGGAACGGAGGAGAUUGCAAAGGGAAGAAUGGCAGAACUGGGAGAGGAAAGCAGGAACCCUAAAGGCUUGUUUAGAGACAGUAAGUGCUCCACAGUUCACUUCCUAAGUCUGGUUCGGUCCGUAUUCACCUAUAAAGAAGCAGAAGGAAGGAGGAAGGCACUCUGUUGUCUGGCUGCAGGGACAUUUUACCAGGUGCAGGAAACCUCUUGCUUCCAGCUUCGUCUCAUCCCUCUAAUGGGAAGUCCUGCCGAGAGGCCACUGACCCUGAACAGAGCAGAGGGCAGAGUAGCAAAGCCAGAAAUGAGAUCAAGACUGGGUGGAGAAACAUAGGGAGAAGAGAGGAGUUAGGAGAGCAGCGGAUCAGAUACGAAGAUCAGCUGUUUCUGUCUGUGCUGGGAUAGAGGAAGGUAAGGUGGUUAUGAUUUUUAGAAACCAACUCACUGUCCUCAUGCUAGCAAAAAAUAUAUUUUUGGUCCUCACUACAUAGCAAGUAGAGGAACACACACAGUUCCACACACAUGUGACGAGCUGUUCAGCAGACUUUCCUCUCGGCGGGGUUCCCCUCUGAGCCGACACGCCACAGAGCACUGACAGCAACAUGCUGAUGGCUGUGUCGGCUUCCUGAGUCAAACAGACCUGCAGCAGACCUCCUGCAUGUUGCAGCUCUUUAUCAAUACAUGUUCUUGUGCUUUAUUAUGCUUUUGAUAUACUGCAUGUUCUACAGGGUGGUCCUGAAAUUGUGACAGC